GAAUUCGCCCUUAGAGUUUGAUCCUGGCUCAGGAUGAACGCUGGCGGCGUGCCUAACACAUGCAAGUCGAACGGAGUUCUUAAGGAAUGCGACUUCGGUCAAAUGACUUUUGAACUUAGUGGCGGACGGGUGAGUAACGCGUGAGCAACCUGCCUUUCAGAGGGGGAUAACAUUUGGAAACAGAUGCUAAUACCGCAUAAGAUUACAGUACCGCAUGAUACAGUGAUCAAAGGAGCAAUCCGCUGAAAGAUGGGCUCGCGUCCGAUUAGAUAGUUGGUGAGGUAACGGCUCACCAAGUCGACGAUCGGUAGCCGGACUGAGAGGUUGAACGGCCACAUUGGGACUGAGACACGGCCCAGACUCCUACGGGAGGCAGCAGUGGGGAAUAUUGCACAAUGGGCGAAAGCCUGAUGCAGCAACGCCGCGUGAGGGAAGACGGUUUUCGGAUUGUAAACCUCUGUUUUCGGUGACGAACAAAUGACGGUAACCGAGUAGGAAGCCACGGCUAACUACGUGCCAGCAGCCGCGGUAAUACGUAGGUGGCAAGCGUUAUCCGGAAUUACUGGGUGUAAAGGGAGCGCAGGCGGGAUAGCAAGUCAGUUGUGAAAACUAUGGGCUCAACCCAUAAACUGCAGUUGAAACUGUUAUUCUUGAGUGGAGUAGAGGCAAGCGGAAUUCCGAGUGUAGCGGUGAAAUGCGUAGAUAUUCGGAGGAACACCAGUGGCGAAGGCGGCUUGCUGGGCUCUAACUGACGCUGAGGCUCGAAAGUGUGGGGAGCAAACAGGAUUAGAUACCCUGGUAGUCCACACUGUAAACGAUGAUUGCUAGGUGUGGGGGGGCUGACCCCCCCCCUGCCGGAGUUAAC
rnacentral:rRNA from 1 species